GGGGGUGGCCAAGAGGCGAGGACCUGAUAGCUGUUAGCACGUAGCCUAACGCACCCAGCCCGGCCUGCUACUCCUCUUGAGGGAACAAGAGAUUAACCACGUGGGAGUAGGCACUUGUAGGGCGUUGGUGUUUCAUUUUUUUGACCACACGGGGGAAACACCAGAGAAAGACCCCCAACAGUUGUUUAUACCCCCUAACCCGAGGAUGGUUUAGGGUUUAAAAGUACCAAAGCCACUCCCAGCCCCCAC
rnacentral:lncRNA from 1 species